AUGAAGUGACGAUGGAGCGAUUGUCUUUUGGUGCCAGCUGCUCCCAUUUGGUGUUUGUGCUCAACUUAUUCCGGAACAACUGGAGUCUUCCGGCGAAGACGGAACUACGUCUAUUGGAAUCCAGCUCGGCCGGCGAGCCGGCCUCGGGGGAGGAUGGAUCGGCGAAAGCGCAUCCCGUCAUAAACUUGGCAACGUUUUCCCUCCCUCCUUUUCCCCCUCUUAAAUGUCAGUUAAUGUCGUCUGUAAAGCACGUUGAAUUCUGGGCUUUCACUCUUUCUCUCUCGUGUUAAACUGAUUUGUUCGUGAUUGCCCAAAGUCCAUUUACUGGGUUUAAGGACCCGCGUGUGUGUGUGUGUCACUCUUCUUAUUCUAAGAGACGUCACUCGAGUUGUAUCAAGUGUGUGACGAUAUAUCCGGCAUUUGUGUGUCAUAGGACACUAAUUGGCCUAUUCACCUCUGGGUGUUGACCCUGUGUACGAGUGAUUCUCACCUUGUGUGUAGCCUGUCUUCACAGGAACCACCACUUCCAUUAUCAUAAGUACACCGUGUUCAUUUAUAUGAGCACAAGUCAAGUCGAACACAAUACAAGAGAUUUUGCUCUUACGAGCCAGCUUCAGGUUUUCAUUAAGUGGAAACAACGCUGGUGGAUCUACGAUGAAUAUUCUUUAUUUGAUCCCAUCCUAGAUCCAAAUAAAUUUAUACCUACGCUAUACUACCGCCCCCCAAUUGCGACCUGGAUCUAUUCAUCCCAUAUUUACCUACAUCUUACAUAAAGUGGAUGGGCCGUGUUAGUAGGG